UCUGCAAAAAAAUAAAAAUAUCAAAUUGUGUUCUCAUUGACAUCAAUUCAACACUUGUUUGACAAGUUUUUUCAUACAGAAGAUAAUCUAAUUCCUAAUAAUGCUAUAAUAAGUGGAUGAAUAUGAAUAUGGAAUGGAAUAUAAAUAUAGUAAAUAUCAUCACCAUGUCCUGAUAACUUAAACAGAUUGAAACGCACAAAAUCCCAAAACGUAGAAAGAUAUGAACAAAAAAAAGAGACAAAGGAAUGAGCUGAAAUUCAGUUAUUUGAAUAAGUGCAAUAGAGAAUUAAUAAACUUCUAUCAUAUUAAUGAACCAAUUAUUUGAAUUAUGUUAUUACUAUUUCUCAAUAUGUUGGGAUGAACGUAGUUUUAUUAUGUAAUACUCCAUUUCAUUAUAUCUAAAUUUAAAAUUAUUAUUAAAGCGUGUAUAAGUUACUUUUCUAAUACAAAUACGUAGAAAUUCAUAUUUUACAAAUAACAAUUUUAUGAUAGCUGAAUAUCUUCUUUACCGCUACUUUUUUUAAUUAUAUUUUGACAAAUAUCCACAAUUCAAGAAUAUAUGUAUAUUUCAGGUACUUAACCCUCCGAAGAUCGUGGUUGAUCUGACAGAUACAGUAAUGCACACUAUGGAAAAACGUUGAGACCGUAAAAAUAAGAAUCAAGGAUGUACCAUAUACAUAAGCUGAUACCAAUUGGGUCCAUGUCAUAGAGCGGCGAAUCAAUUCCAAACUACCUAUAACUGAUGGUACAACCCAAAUCCCAUGAGUAGCUACAUUUGCCAUGUGUUCUACAGAAGUAGGUAUAUAUGCUUCGUUACUACAUGCUGGAGGAUUCAUCCAUUUUAUUCUGUAAGAAUUUAAUACAUUGUUUUAGCACAAUUUAUUUCUUUUUAAUAUAUUUAUUUUUAUUUACUAAAUAUUAAAGUAUUGUAUAUUGUAUAUUAUAUAUUUAAUAUCGUAAAAUGUUUAAUAUGUGUUUGAUAUUUAUAAUAUACAAGGAAGGAAAUGUACAAAGUAGUAUAAAUAUUUUAUUCCGAAAAAAUAAAAAGUUGUUCAUA